UGUCUUCUAAAUAAAGACCAGUAUGAACGGCUAAAUGAGGACAAACCUGUCUCUUAUAACUAAUCAGUGAAACUGAUCUACCAGUACAAAAGCUGGUAUAAACACAUAAGACGAGAAGACCCUGUGGAGCUUAAGACAACCUACUAACAAACACCCUGUGCUACUAGUAUUCUGUCUUGAGUUGGGGCGACUUCGGAACAAAACAAAACUUCCGAGCAGAGAUCCACCACCUCUUACCGAGGCCCACAAGCCAAAGUUAAAACUGACCCGGCUCCCGCCGAUCAACGAACCAAGUUACCCCAGGGAUAACAGCGCUAUCUUCUUCAAGAGUCCCUAUCGACAAGAAGGUUUACGACCUCGAUGUUGGAUCAGGACACCCCAGUGGUGCAGCCGCUACUAAAGGUUCGUUUGUUCAACGAUUAACAGU
rnacentral:rRNA from 1 species